GUGGAUAAUGAUACUAUCUGGCUCAGGAUAAUUCCCUUAUGCUUAUCUUUGUACGAUUGAUGAUACAUAGGAUAUACGAUUGUACAUGCCAUUGUAUAUAUAUUUGUAUUUUGAAAAAAAAAUCACAGUAGGUCUGACCUAUACUUUGAUUUUUGCUCAGAUAUUGCAUCACUGGGUAUUCAAAAUGAAAGUUGUUGAGGUUUAUUGUUUGAAAUGAAACUUUGUAUUGUUACAUAAAUAUGGUUUCUUAGAGGGGGAUGCAUGGUGGAUGUAAUUAUUUUUCUACGUAAGUAGAUGAAUGUAUGUAGCAGUUGGUUAAUGUUUUUUUCAUUUAUGAGUUAAAGCAGAUUUUAAAAUAACACAAUUUACAGAAAGUUUUUUGUACAAAUGUCUGUCUAAAAGAAUAGAAAAAAUAUAUUUUACCAAUCUUAUGGUUGCAUACAUACAUUGUAGGUGUAUUUGUUAAGGGGGGGGGGGGCAUAAUUCCUCUAUUUGCAGUUUGAUCUGCCAUGGUUUCUAAGUGUCACAAAACCAAUGACUGGAAUGGCAUUAAAUGUAAUGGAUCUUGUUAAAUCUUGUGACUUGAAAUAUUGAUGAAUUUGAUACAAAAUAAAUGUUUUAUUUACC
rnacentral:misc_RNA from 1 species